GCGGGGAUGGUGGAAUGGUAUACACAGGGGUCCUAAACACCCCCGGCCUUUGGCUAUGAGGGUUCGAGUCCCUCUCCCCGCA
rnacentral:tRNA from 1 species